GAGGCACCCUUAUGGGGCAAGACUUGAUUUAGUGAGGCUUUGGUGCUCGCUGAGUCUGCUUCGUGAGUGUGUUCCU
rnacentral:pre_miRNA from 1 species